rnacentral:rRNA from 1 species
GGACUACCCGGGUAUCUAAUCCUGUUUGCUCCCCACGCUUUCGCGCCUCAGCGUCAGUUUCAGUCCAGGUGGUCGCCUUCGCCACUGAUGUUCCUUCCGAUCUCUACGCAUUUCACCGCUACACCGGAAAUUCCACCACCCUCUACUGUACUCCAGUCAUUCAGUCUAAAAUGCGGUUCCCAGGUUAAGCCCGGGGAUUUCACAUCUCACUUGAAUCACCGCCUACGCGCCCUUUACGCCCAGUAACUCCGAUUAACGCUUGCACCCUCUGUAUUACCGCGGCUGCUGGCAC